rfam:Picea glauca, whole genome shotgun sequence.
UGGAGCGUGGCCAAGCGGUAAGGCAACAGGUUUUGAUCUUGUUAUUUGGAGGUUCAAAUCCUUCCGUCCUAG